rnacentral:rRNA from 1 species
UACAGAGGUCUCAAGCGUUGUUCGGAUUCAUUGGGCGUAAAGGGUGCGUAGGUGGCGCCAUAAGUCAGGUGUGAAAUCUCGGGGCUUAACUCCGAAACUGCAUUUGAUACUGUGGUGCUUGAGGACUGGAGAGGAGACUGGAAUUUACGGUGUAGCAGUGAAAUGCGUAGAGAUCGUAAGGAAGACCAGUGGCGAAGGCGGGUCUCUGGACAGUUCCUGACACUGAGGCACGAAGGCCCAGGGGGAGCAAAACGGG